UACGAAGGGUGCAAGCGUUACUCGGAAUUACUGGGCGUAAAGCGUGCGUAGGUGGUGAGUUAAGUCUGUCGUGAAAGCCCCGGGCUCAACCUGGGAAUGGCGAUGGAUACUGGCUCGCUAGAGUGCGGUAGAGGAGAGUGGAAUUCCCGGUGUAGCAGUGAAAUGCGUAGAGAUCGGGAGGAACAUCAGUUGCGAAGGCGGCUCUCUAGUACGGUACUGACGCUGAGACGCAAAAGCGUGGGGAGCGAACAGG
rnacentral:rRNA from 1 species